GAACGACUCUCGGCAACGGAUAUCUCGGCUCUCGCAUCGAUGAAGAACGUAGCGAAAUGCGAUACUUGGUGUGAAUUGCAGAAUCCCGUGAACCAUCGAGUCUUUGAAUGCAAGUUGCGCCCGAAGCCUUCGGGCCAAGGGCACGUCUGCCUGGGCGUCACGCA
rnacentral:rRNA from 1 species